rnacentral:rRNA from 1 species
UACAGAGGGUGCAAGCGUUAUCCGGAUUUACUGGGUUUAAAGGGUGCGUAGGCGGACUUUUAAGUCAGUGGUGAAAUCCCCGAGCUUAACUCGGAAACUGCCAUUGAUACUAUUAGUCUUGAAUUCGGUCGAGGUUGGCGGAAUGUGUCGUGUAGCGGUGAAAUGCUUAGAUAUGACACAGAACACCGAUUGCGAAGGCAGCUAGCUAGACCGACAUUGACGCUGAGGCACGAAAGCGUGGGGAGCAAACAGG